rnacentral:rRNA from 1 species
UACAGAGGUCUCAAGCGUUGUUCGGAUUCAUUGGGCGUAAAGGGUGCGUAGGCGGCGCGGUAAGUCGGGUGUGAAAUCUCGGAGCUUAACUCCGAAACUGCAUUCGAUACUGCCGUGCUUGAGGACUGGAGAGGAGACUGGAAUUUACGGUGUAGCGGUGAAAUGCGUAGAUAAUCGUAAGGAAGACCAGUGGCGAAGGCGGGUCUCUGGACAGUUCCUGACGCUGAGGCACGAAGGCCAGGGGAGCAAACGGG